UACAGAGGGUGCGAGCGUUAAUCGGAAUUACUGGGCGUAAAGCGUGCGUAGACGGUUAUUUAAGUCGGGUGUGAAAGCCCCGGGCUCAACCUGGGAAUUGCAUUCGAGACUGAAUAGCUAGGGUACGGUAGAGGGAAGUGGAAUUUCCGGUGUAGCGGUGAAAUGCGUAGAUAUUGGGAGGAACACCAGUGGCGAAGGCGGCUCACUGGACUGGUACUGACGCUGAGGCGCGAAAGCGUGGGGAGCAAACAGG
rnacentral:rRNA from 1 species